AGAGAGAGACAUGCGCGCAUAUCAAUAAGCGGAGGAAAAGAAACUAACAAGGAUUCCCUUAGUAACGGCGAGUGAAGCGGGAAGAGCUCAAAUUUGAAAUCUUCAAGGUUCUACCUUGACGAAUUGUAGUUUAUAGAAGUGUUUUCUGUUAGUGGAGUGGCAAAAGUUCUUUGGAAUAGGACAUCAUAGAGGGUGAGAAUCCCGUAUUUGGUCAUUCCUCCUAGCGUUGUGAUACACUUUCGACGAGUCGGAUUGUUUGGGAAUGCAGUCCAAAAUGGGUGGUAAAUUUCAUCUAAAGCUAAAUAUUGGCGAGAGACCGAUAGCGAACAAGUACCGUGAGGGAAAGAUGAAAAGAACUUUGAAAAGAGAGUUAAACAGUACGUGAAAUUGUCAAAAGGGAAGCGUUUGACACCAGUGUUGUUUUUCCGAAAAUCAAUUACGAAUGUUUUGUUUUUGAGGAGUUAUGACUUCAUCGGCUUGCUCCUUUCUUUAUGAAACUUUCUUAAUGCACUUUUCGGUUAACAAGUCAACAUCAAUUUCUUUUGUUGUAAAAGGGUAUGAGGAAGGUGGCUUUCUUUUCGGAGAAAGUGUUUAUAGCCUUGUGCCUCUGCAAUCGGAGAGAUUGAGGUCUGCAGCGUAGAUCCUUCGGGGUUAGAUACAUUUGUGCUAAGCUAUAGCCUUUCAUAGGACAACUUGUUGACUAUGAUCAGUCAUGUAGCUUACUCGCUUAUGUCUAUUUUACCUACGCUUAGGAUGUUGAUAGUCACAGCGUGUAC
rnacentral:rRNA from 1 species